rnacentral:rRNA from 1 species
UACGAAGGGGGCUAGCGUUGUUCGGAAUCACUGGGCGUAAAGCGCACGCAGGCGGAUCGUUAAGUCAGGGGUGAAAUCCCGAGGCUCAACCUCGGAACUGCCUUUGAUACUGGCGAUCUUUGAGUCCGGGAGAGGUGAGUGGAACUGCGAGUGUAGAGGUGAAAUUCGUAGAUAUUCGCAAGAACACCAGUGGCGAAGGCGGCUCACUGGCCCGGUACUGACGCUGAGGUGCGAAAGCGUGGGGAGCAAACAGG